UGCAAAAGCAAGACCAAAUCAUUUACAAAGAUUCAUUGAAGAGUCAGUUGAGAAGAAAGAGAUUGACGUUAGAAAUAGUGACACUGGAAAUCUAGUUCCUCAUUAGGAAGAAGCAUUGAAGGAAGGUUUCACUUCAAGGCCUAACUGGGAAGUAUGAUUAUUUCCACUUGAAGGAAAGAACAUCCAGCAAAUAGGUCCUAAAAUGGUAAAUAUGUUUAAUUGAUGAAAAUUCCAUUACAGUAGGGACACAUCACCAUCGCUGAAGCCCAGGUGCAUUUUUUUUUUUCCAGUCUUAAACCUUUCUAAAAUGGCCGACUGCUCUGUUUCUUAAGAAAAUGGGAAAUUAGGAAUUUAUCAUUAGCUGCUUCCAAGUAUCCAGAGGGCUUCUUGGCAGGGGAUUGAAUGCAAUUAGGAUUGAGAUAAAAUGGAAAGUAUAUGGAAAAAAUUGAUUCCUGAUCAAAAGCGCCAUGCUGGUGCCCAUGGUGACACUUCAUAGAAUCCUUCUUGAGUGCAGAAAUGAGCAGCUAGACACAAAAGUGUUGUUAAAUGUCCUGUAGAACGACGUUCAGGAAAUUCACAUUUGGAUUUCAGUAUAACUCAGAGUUAUGGUGGUGCUAUCCAACACUUUUUUGGAAGGGAGUUUGCUUGAUACCAACACAACGCUUGCCAGAACUCAGCAGGCCAAAUUCUAGUUCUGGAAUAUGUGGGAACCAAGAGAUCAGCAGUUAAAUGAUGAGGGCCGUAUCACUUUCAGUGCUCCAAGGAAACAAAUUCUACCUAAUGGUCUAGAAGGUCAGUUUGAAUAUAACCAAUAAUCUUUUAAAAAUGAAAAGUCUCUUUUGUGGCAUUUUAUAAGGCAUGUAACAUUUAAUAAUGAAAUGUACUAUUACAUUUUUUUCUUCUGAAUACUGGCUAAAAUGUUUCAGCUUUUCAGACUUAAUUAUAUCUGGCCAGACAUGUGCAAUUAUGCUUACCUUUAGAAAUGAAAAGCCAAUAGUAUUCAUUGUGUGUAUUAAACUAGGUUAGAAAAGUGAUCGUUUCAUAGCUAAUCUGUAUCAAAACUGCCCUGGUUGAAGUGAUUGGAUUGGCAUUGAACUCAUUAUUGAAUGCAGAGCUUCUCAUCUUCUUCUAAAAUAUUCUUAUUAAUUUGGCAAAAAGUGAUGUGUUAAAAUUACAAUUAGGGUAAUAAAAUAAGAAAUUAUAAGCCA
rnacentral:lncRNA from 12 species